GCAGGAGUAAAUUUUCAGGCUGGCUACGCUACUGUGUACUGUGUGUAAUUCUUAGGAUUUGCCAAACAAAGCUAGGUCUGAGUGUGAACCUUUGCUGUCGCCAGUUAGAGAAAAUAAUAAUUUGCUAUGCAAGCCCUCAAAUUAAACUAGAAGAUUUAAAGUGCGCCCAAUUUAUGGAUGUCUUAGAAAAAUGUGAAAUAGUCACAAAAUAUGGCGAAUACAAUUAUUCUCCUAAAAUGAUUGGUAAGUAUAUAUAUGAUGAGAUGUUUAAAGCAUGGAACAAACUAAUGACAGCGGACGAUAGCGUACAUGUAGUUAUCAUUGGAAGAGUGAUUUCGGGGGCUAAUUGUCUCGGUCAUGCUGAAUUGUGUGACUUGGACACAAGGACCACUAAGACGGCAGAUGGGAUGGUAACGAUUCAUGACGCACAGGACGAAACGUGGAGAAGAAUGGGUCAACAAGACUUUAUAAACCACGUACACAAUGACGAAGGUGUUAUAUUCUAUACGGUGAACGUCGAUAAACUAAAACAAAUAAUCAAUCAUUGUUCACAUAUUUUACACCUAAAAAUAUCUAAACAAUUAUACACACAGUACACAACUGAUUUUUAUCACAAGUGAGUGGGCGGUCAUUUUUUCAACUUCCUGAAAAUUUAUCAAUAUUUUGCUAGUUAUCUAUAUUUUAUGUAAAAUUUUUGUGUAGUUAUAUGUUUUCAUCAUGGCUAUACAAAUAUAAAUAUAAAUGAAUACAAUUAGCUUUUCUCACGCCGCCAUUUUUGGGGUACUUUUUUGCCAAUCCUGCGAGCGUAGCACCACGUAACGGCGACAUUUUAUAAUUUUGUGGGUGUACGAUGGUAAAUUUACUCCGUAAAUAGUUUGUUCUGAAAUAUUGCUUUUCACAUUGUUAUAAUCGUUUACGAAAAAUUACAGUACACCAAAAAUGGCGGCGUGGGAAAGGCUAAUUGGAAUUUAUCCUGUUACGGAUACGUCAUAUAAUGAAUGUUUAUGAGUGCAAUGGUAAGAGUAUUUUCAUUCGGUGAAAGAUGUGAUAUUCCAAUCAACUCGGUUCGUUGAAUGGAACAUUCCAUCUUUCACCUCAUGAAAAUAUUCUUACCAUUGCACGAAUAAAUACAUUCAUUAUUUGUAUAAUAUAACAUGUUAUAUAUAUGUAUUUGUAAUAUUUGUAAUAUUGUGACAAAC